GGCCAGCUGGUCAGUGACUCGACAUGUAGGUGGCUGGUGAGAGUGUGCAGUUGUCAGUCAUUUGGUAGGAGGAGCCAGCUGGUAACUCGUAGGAUAUACUGGAGCUAGUAAAGGUAACCAGGGCUUGUGUGGAGUCGCAGGACUGCUUUUCUGCAUCUUCCGAAUUGAUGGAGUGUGGUCGAUGGAAUUCUCUGACGACACUGCAUGGCCCAUACCUUGCCUUAAAUGAAAAAAAGAAACCCUACUUUGUUCCUUUGUUGCUUAUUAAAUAUAUUGAACGUCUUACCUGGAGAUGGUGUACACUGUGCAGAGUGUAACAUUUUUACAUCUUCUUCAAAGUCAAGAAGGAAAUCCUCAAAGUCCCGAUCAUCUUAGAGGUAAAAAGACACCGACUCGGAAGAAGAUUUUGAUGACCCUUUAUGCAAACCACUGAUGAACUUUUAUACAGACAUUUGAUGAACUUUUAGAGACUUUAACUUUAUGGACACUUGAAAAACUUUGCUUGCCAUCUGCAGCAAAGAUACAGCAACCCGGACAAGACAUCAACAAGACUUCAACAAGACAUCCAAGGACAAUCACAUACAAUAUCAUAUGAAUGCAUUUAUAACGCGUUUCUUAUCUUCAUCUCUACCAUCUUCAGGUAGUGACACACAUAGUUGACAGGUAAUAUAGGCACAUAUAUUAGCACUCACAUAUUUUCCCCCCUUCAUGUAUCAUCAACUAAUGUGCACCCCAUUUGUUGGAACUAAAAAGCCGAAAAGAGCUCGGUAGAGUUUGUUAGCCCACUUACAGACCCUUAAUACGGGAUAAGAAGGAUUCAAUGUAUACUUCGCAAUACCUCGAAGCUUAUUUUUUUUUUUAACAUGUACGGCACAAUGAUACAUGACCCCUCAGACAUGGAUUUCAUACAUACAUGCUUUUUACUAUCUCACUAGGUCAUACAGUUCCCACAUUCUCCUCUCCUCCCAACUCCCAAUCAUAAUAAGGUAUUUCAUGGUAAUAUAUAUUUUUCUGCUUAAUUGUUUAGAUAGUGGCAGUUAUUGUUGACUGCCAAAGGGUGGACUGUCAAAGUCGAAAAAUAUCAUGAUUCACAUGCCUUGUACUAACCCCAAUACACAUGCCCGCUGCUCGUGCACCCACUACCCCGUGCGUACGCAUCCCCUCAGGUUGCGUAGGGGACGCUCCAACGUCUCCUGCGCAUGGAGAUGUGUAUUUACGGCGGAGUUUGUAAGCGUCUAGCGAGCAACUCGAUCGCAACAUAUUUAACCCAUAUAGUGUGUUUUAUAGAUAAUAUUCCCCUUAACAAUGUCAGCAAGUAUGUUUAGUUUAAACGGUUCUUGGACAGAGAGAUCCCUCUUUGCAUGAUAGGAAGGGUCAGAUAAAGGUUGAACAGUGGUGUCUAGUAUCCAGCUGUAGAGUAUUUUAAUGGUAACAUUUCGGUGUUGGUUAGGAAAAGAUUGCUCGCUCCUGCGUAUAGUUAUGUACAAAAGUAGUUUAUGGACAUUUACUGUAUUUGCUGUUCAUUAUCCAUGACGCGGGAAUCCUGAGGAUACCUCCCACCUGAGCAGUUGGAGAAAGACACAGCCCACCUGUUCAAACCCACCUAUGACCUUUUGUUAUAAUGCAGAGACACAUUCCUGUGUCCAAUGAACAAUGAGAUUAUAGGGACCAUUGUAUUGUUACUGUAUGCUGUGUAUAUAAGGACCACCAUUGCCUGGGCCAGACACUCACUCUCUCUGAAAUGCUUUCUCAUUGAAUGCUGAGGGCUGGAUCCAGGACGCGCUUGCGAAUCAUUCCCACGUAUGUAUUGUUCUCUGUAGCCAUUUUAUUAUCCUUAGUGUUUGCCAUUUAUUCUCAUUCUGUUUGCUUGUGUUUGUAAUUG